UUGAUUUUGUUGUGGUCGUAGGCACAAAACAUUUUUCCCAAUACAUGAAAAUAUAGGUGGGAGGUUAUGACAUGUCCUUCAUUAUUCUACCAUUAUCAGGUCUUAAGCAGUUUCACGAAGUAAUUUGUCACUUUGUGGAGGUCACCAAAGAUAAGAUUGAAGGUAUGACAGGUGCUAAAUGUUUGGACAGUUGACCCUCCGAGAUAAGGAUCGAUUCUUUCUAGAAAAUGGAAUUUCUGAUCUUUCUAGUAAUUUGAAUCUGGCUACUUCAAGUAGCUGUCUGAAUCGUUGGGUGCAAUAGUUCAGGUGAU